AAAGCCUGACCCAGCGACGCCGCGUGCGGGAUGAAGGCCUUCGGGUUGUAAACCGCUUUCAGCAGGGAAGAAGCGAAAGUGACGGUACCUGCAGAAGAAGCACCGGCUAACUAUGUGCCAGCAGCCGCGGUAAUACAUAGGGUGCAAGCGUUGUCCGGAAUUAUUGGGCGUAAAGAGCUCGUAGGUGGUUCGUUACGUCGGAUGUGAAAACCUGAGGCUCAACCUCAGGCCUGCAUUCGAUACGGGCGAACUGGAGUGUGGUAGGGGAGACUGGAAUUCCUGGUGUAGCGGUGGAAUGCGCAGAUAUCAGGAGGAACACCAAUGGCGAAGGCAGGUCUCUGGGCCACUACUGACACUGAGGAGCGAAAGCGUGGGGAGCAAACARGAKURGAUACCCUGGUAGUCCACGCUGUAAACGGBBBSCMYKGAUUGUGGGAACCUUCCACGGUUUCUGCGACGUAGCAAACGCAUUAAKUGCC
rnacentral:rRNA from 1 species